GCAAGUCUACUUGAAAGUUCCUUCGGGAGUGAUUAGGGUGGCGGACGGGUGAGUAACGCGUAAAGAACUUGCCCUUCAGCUGGGGACAACAUUGGGAAACCGAUGCUAAUACCCGAUACGAUUACAUCUUGACAUCAUAAUGUAAUGAAAGCUAUAUGCGCUGAAGGAGAGCUUUGCGUCCUAUUAGCUAGUUGGUGAGGUAAUGGCUCACCAAGGCGACGAUAGGUAGCCGGCCUGAGAGGGUGAAC
rnacentral:rRNA from 1 species